rnacentral:rRNA from 1 species
CAAUAGCGUAUAUUAAAGUUGUUGCAGUUAAAAAGCUCGUAGUUGAACUUCUGGUCAAGCGUGACCUUGGCUUCGGUCGAGGCAGGCAUGGCCAUCCGUCAGAAAACCAGGGAGGGUCUUAAGUGAUCGCUCUGGGGAUCUGACACUUUACUUUGAAAAACUAGAGUGUUCAUGGCAGGCUAACGCCCUGAAUACACAAGCAUGGAAUAAUAGAAUAGGACUGGGUCCAUUUUGUUGGUUAUUGGACGCAGUGAUGAUUAAUAGGGACAGUUGGGGGCAUUAGUAUUUAAUUGUCAGAGGUGAAAUUCUUGGAUUUAUUAAAGACUGACUUAUGCGAAAGCAUUUGCCAAGGAUGUUUUCAUUGAUCAAGAACGAAAGUUAGGGGAUCAAAGACGAUCAGAUACCAU